UACGAAGGGGGCUAGCGUUGCUCGGAAUUACUGGGCGUAAAGGGCGCGUAGGCGGCCUGUUAAGUCGAACGUGAAAUCCCCGGGCUCAACCCGGGAACUGCGUCCGAUACUGGCAGGCUUGAAUCCGGGAGAGGGAUGCGGAAUUCCAGGUGUAGCGGUGAAAUGCGUAGAUAUCUGGAGGAACACCGGUGGCGAAGGCGGCAUCCUGGACCGGUAUUGACGCUGAGGCGCGAAAGCGUGGGGAGCGAACAGG
rnacentral:rRNA from 1 species